UAUCUAGAUCUAGAUCUAGAUCUAGAUCUAGAUCUAGAUCUAGAUCUAGAUCUAGAUCUAGAUCUAGAUCUAGAUCUAGAUCUAGAUCUAG